GCAGGUUCAUUUUGAGAUUCAGAGCGAUUUCGAUUUUGAAGAUCUCUCUCUCGAUUUCAAAGCUCCACCGUCUCUCUCUCUCUCUCUCUAGAUCAGGCCGGUAAUCGUAGUUUUAUGAGAGAAGAGGGAGGACAGGGACUGGGAGCUUGCGAAGAGAGAGGCAGUGCUUGAUUUCUCAGAGAUUCAGAUCGGUCUCAGAGAUUUCAUCUCCGAGCGAUUUCGAUUUUGAAGUUCUCUCUCUCGAUUUCGAGGCUCCACCAUGACCACCAUCUGCACCAGCUAGGAUUUGCUGGCCUUGUGUGAAAGUGACCGGAAGAAGGAGCUUUUGCUGCUACUACAGAUCAUUGACAUAAAGAUUAUUUCUCUAGGUCAUCUACCAAAUAUUUUCAGAUCCUUGGGGAGGCUUUUAUUGGAGUCUUUUGUGAAGAAAUUCAUUUUGGAAUUAAAAAGCUGUGGGGCUGGACAAUAUAAUUGCUUGAAGUCUCGUGCACAAAAUAGAAAAGCAAUAUAUAAAUGCUAGGUGUACACACACUAAUCAAUUAUUCUAUUGUCUAUUCUAUCUAUCUAGGUAUUCGUAUUUUGGUGAACUCAAAUUCCUAUUUUGGCUCAAAUAGAGGGGCAUCCAAUUUUUGUGACUCCUUAAUGUCAUUAGUGUUUGUAUUCUAUCUAUUAUAAUCCGAAUAGUCUAACGUGCCAACUUAUGAUUAGCAAAGUAGAAUCGGUAAGGUGGUUUUUAUUUACACUUGCUUUAAACUUUGUUUCCUUGAAUUAAAUUUUUUAUUUUUUUUUUAUUUUUAUGUAUGUUUAUAUUCUGAAUGAAUGUAAGAAACUUACUUUUAAAAAUCGUUAAUUAAUUAUGUUUAUAUUUAAAAAUGUUUGGUUUUUCACUUCCUGUCAUUGAGGAGUUGGUGGAAAAAAUUCAUUAGAUUGAGGAGUUGCCACUGCAAGAAUUUCAUGGCCACACUAGUGAUGUCUUGGAUCUGGCCUGGUCCAAAUCUAAUAUAUUUGGUGGUCUAGUCAAUGCUGGAAACCCAAAAUUAGAAGGAACAGAUCUUUCUGAUAAUGACUACCUACUUUUCAAUUUCAAUGACUACCCAAAUGGAAUGGUGACACUUUUCAAUUUACUAAUAAUGGGAAACUGGCAAGCCUGGAUGCAGAGAGAUCUGAGCAGCUGGACUGGGAUACACGUCUAAAUAGCAUCAUGGGAGCUGCAAAAGGGCUGGCAUACUUGCACCAUGAUUGUUCCCCACGAAUUAUAUAUCGUGACAUAAAGUCAAGUAACAUUUUGCUUGAUGGGAAUUUUGAGGCUUGAGUAUCUGACUUUGGAUUAGCCAAAUUAUUAGAAGAUGAGGA